GACGAACGCUGGCGGCGUGCUUAACACAUGCAAGUCGAACGGAAAGGCCCUGCUUUUGUGGGGUGCUCGAGUGGCGAACGGGUGAGUAACACGUGAGUAACCUGCCCUUGACUUUGGGAUAACUUCAGGAAACUGGGGCUAAUACCGGAUAGGAGCUCCUGCUGCAUGGUGGGGGUUGGAAAGUUUCGGCGGUUGGGGAUGGACUCGCGGCUUAUCAGCUUGUUGGUGGGGUAGUGGCUUACCAAGGCUUUGACGGGUAGCCGGCCUGAGAGGGUGGCCGGCCACAUUGGGACUGAGAUACGGCCCAGACUCCUGCGGGAGGCAGCAGUGGGGAAUAUUGCACAAUGGGCGGAAGCCUGAUGCAGAAACGCCGCGUGCGGGAUGACGGCCUUCGGGUUGUAAACCGCUUUCGCCUGUGACGAAGCGUGAGUGACGGUAAUGGGUAAAGAAGCACCGGCUAACUACGUG
rnacentral:rRNA from 1 species